AUUGAACGCUGGCGGCAGGCCUAACACAUGCAAGUCGAACGAGUGGCGGACGGGUGAGUAAUGUUUGGUAAACUGCCCGUUGGAGGGGGAUAACUACUGGAAACGGUAGCUAAUACCGCAUACCAUCGGAUGUGCCCAGAUGGGAUUAGCUAGUACGUGGGGUAACGGCUCACCUAGGCGACGAUCCCUAGCUGGUCUCAGCGGAUGACCAGCCACACUGGGACUGAGACACGGUCCAUACUCCUACGGGAGGCAGCAGUAGGAAAUAUUGCACAAUGGGCGCAAGCCUGAUGCAGCCAUGCCGCGUGUAUGAAGAAGGCAUUCGGGUUGUAAAGUACUGUCAGCGGGGAGGCGUUACUCACAGAAGAAGCACCGGCUAACUACGUGCCAGCAGCCGCGGUAAUAC
rnacentral:rRNA from 1 species